rnacentral:misc_RNA from 1 species
GAAAUGCGAUAAGUAAUGUGAAUUGCAGAAUUCCGUGAAUCAUCGAAUCUUUGAACGCACAUUGCGCCCUCUGGCAUUCCGGGGGGCAUGCCUGUCCGAGCGUCAUUACGCACCCUCAAGCCCGGCUUGUGUGAUGGGCCCCGCCGUCUCGUUCGCGAGACGGGCCCGAAAGGCAGCGGUUCCUUGCCCCCCUCUUUGCGCAGCACAUUGCCAUUCGAGGCGGCGGCGGCCCGCGUCCAACAAGCUCAACCCCCCCGUCUUUGACCUCGGAUCAGGUAGGGAUACCCGCUGAACUUAAGC